AGACACGGCCCAGACUCCUACGGGAGGCAGCAGUGGGGAAUUUUGGACAAUGGGCGAAAGCCUGAUCCAGCAAUGCCGCGUGUGUGAAGAAGGCCUUCGGGUUGUAAAGCACUUUUGUCCGGAAAGAAAUCCUUGGUUCUAAUAUAGCCGGGGGAUGACGGUACCGGAAGAAUAAGCACCGGCUAACUACGUGCCAGCAGCCGCGGUAAUACGUAGGGUGCGAGCGUUAAUCGGAAUUACUGGGCGUAAAGCGUGCGCAGGCGGUUUGCUAAGACCGAUGUGAAAUCCCCGGGCUCAACCUGGGAACUGCAUUGGUGACUGGCAGGCUAGAGUAUGGCAGAGGGGGGUAGAAUUCCACGUGUAGCAGUGAAAUGCGUAGAGAUGUGGAGGAAUACCGAUGGCGAAGGCAGCCCCCUGGGCCAAUACUGACGCUCAUGCACGAAAGCGUGGGGAGCAAACAGGAUUAGAUACCCUGGUAGUCCACGCCCUAAAC
rnacentral:rRNA from 1 species